GAAUUGCAGUUGAAACUGGCGUGCUUGAGUUCGGUCGAGGCAGGCGGAAUUCGUGGUGUAGCGGUGCAAUGCUUAGAUAUCACGAAGAACCCCGAUUGCGAAGGCAGCUUGCCAGGCCUGGACUGACGUUGAGGCUCGAAGGUGCGGGUAUCGAACAGGAUUAGAUACCCUGGUAGUCCGCACGGUAAACGAUGGAUACUCGCUGUCGGCGAUACACGGUCGGCGGCCAAGCGAAAGCGUUAAGUAUCCCACCUGGGGAGUACGCCGGCAACGGUGAAACUCAAAGGAAUUGACGGGGGCCCGCACAAGCGGAGGAACAUGUGGUUUAAUUCGAUGAUACGCGAGGAACCUUACCCGGGCUUGAACUGUGCCUGACUGCCUCAGAGAUGGGGCUUCCAGCAAUGGCAGGCAUGGAGGUGCUGCAUGGUUGUCGUCAGCUCGUGCCGUGAGGUGUCGGCUUAAGUGCCAUAACGAGCGCAACCCCUCCCGCCAGUUGCCAUCAGGUAAUGCUGGGCACUCUGGGGGCACUGCCACCGCAAGGUGUGAGGAAGGUGGGGAUGACGUCAAAUCAGCACGGCCCUUACGUCCGGGGCUACACACGUGUUACAAUGGGGGGUACAGCAGGCUGCUACCCGGCGACGGGAUGCUAAUCCGUAAAACCCCUCUCAGUUCGGACUGGAGUCUGCAACCCGACUCCACGAAGCUGGAUUCGCUAGUAAUCGCGCAUCAGCCACGGCGCGGUGAAUACGUUCCCGGGCCUUGUACACACCGCCCGUCAAGCCAUGAAAGCCGGGNNNNCCUGAAGUGCGCUUCCGCGAGGGGCGCCCUAGAGUAAAACCGGUGAUUGGGGAUAAGUCGUAACAAGGUAACCA
rnacentral:rRNA from 1 species